UUUUUGUAUUUUUUUUCUUCUUUUU
rnacentral:sRNA from 1 species